UGGUAACCGCGUGCAAUUUCCAAACUAAUGCGAAAUUGCACUCGGGUACCCAGC
rnacentral:pre_miRNA from 1 species